rfam:Clostridium sp. CAG:221 genomic scaffold, scf19
UAUAAUAUAAACAAUAACUUUCGUAUAAGCUUAAUAAUAUGGUUUAAGCGUUUCUACAAUAUCGCCGUAAAUGAUAUUUGCUAUGAAUAAAAGUCCACGAAGG